GAUGAACGCUGGCGGCGUGCCUAAUACAUGCAAGUCGAGCGAACAGACGAGGAGCUUGCUCCUCUGACGUUAGCGGCGGACGGGGGAGUAACAGGUGGUUAACCUACCUUUAAGACUGGGAUAAUUCCGGGAAACGGGACUCAAUACCGGAUAAUUAAUUAAACAGAAUGGUUCAAUAGUUAAAGAAGGUUUUGCUGGCACUAAUACAUGGAUCCGCGCCGCAUUAGCUAGUUGGUAAGGUAACGGCUUACCAAGGCAACGAUGCGUAGCCGACCUGAGAGGGUGAUCGGCCACACUGGAACUGAGACACGGUCCAGACUCCUACGGGAGGCAGCAGUAGGGAAUCUUCCGCAAUGGGCGAAAGCCUGACGGAGCAACGCCGCGUGAGUGAUGAAGGUCUUCGGAUCGUAAAACUCUGUUAUUAGGGAAGAACAAAUGUGUAAGUAACUAUGCACGUCUUGACGGUACCUAAUCAGAAAGCCACGGCUAACUACGUG
rnacentral:rRNA from 1 species